rnacentral:misc_RNA from 1 species
AUUCAUCGUAUUGCCCUCCCAAUUAUUCAAAUUCAUAUCCACCGCAACACCCACAAGCCCAUCACCAAUGGAAUCAUCAAGAACCCCCAAUUCAUCCGCCAGGGGUUUCAAUUCAACCCGCUUCGGCAUCACACGGGCAACCGUACUUUCAGUUACCCAAUCAGCAGAAUGGUUAUCACUUGCCCCAAAGGACAGAGGGGGUUGGGCUAGGGGUGAAUCCUG